rnacentral:rRNA from 1 species
CCGACUAAGCCAUGCGAGUCAAGGGGGCGUCCCUUCUGGGACGCCACCGGCGGACGGCUCAGUAACACGUCGGUAACCUACCCUCGGGAGGGGGAUAACCCCGGGAAACUGGGGCUAAUCCCCCAUAGGCCUGGGGUACUGGAAGGUCCCCAGGCCGAAAGGGAGCCGUAAGGCUCCGCCCGAGGAUGGGCCGGCGGCCGAUUAGGUAGUUGGUGGGGUAACGGCCCACCAAGCCGAAGAUCGGUACGGGCCGUGAGAGCGGGAGCCCGGAGAUGGACACUGAGACACGGGUCCAGGCCCUACGGGGCGCAGCAGGCGCGAAACCUCCGCAAUGCGGGAAACCGCGACGGGGGGACCCCCAGUGCCGUGCCUCUGGCACGGCUUUUCCGGAGUGUAAAAAGCUCCGGGAAUAAGGGCUGGGCAAGGCCGGUGGCAGCCGCCGCGGUAAUACCGGCGGCCCGAGUGGUGGCCACUAUUAUUGGGCCUAAAGCGGCCGUAGCCGGGCCCGUAAGUCCCUGGCGAAAUCCCACGGCUCAACCGUGGGGCUCGCUGGGGAUACUGCGGGCCUUGGGACCGGGAGAGGCCGGGGGUACCCCCGGGGUAGGGGUGAAAUCCUAUAAUCCCGGGGGGACCGCCAGUGGCGAAGGCGCCCGGCUGGAACGGGUCCGACGGUGAGGGCCGAAGGCCAGGGGAGCGAACCGGAUUAGAUACCCGGGUAGUCCUGGCUGUAAAGGAUGCGGGCUAGGUGUCGGGCGAGCUUCGAGCUCGCCCGGUGCCGUAGGGAAGCCGUUAAGCCCGCCGCCUGGGGAGUACGGCCGCAAGGCUGAAACUUAAAGGAAUUGGCGGGGGAGCACUACAAGGGGUGGAGCGUGCGGUUUAAUUGGAUUCAACGCCGGGAACCUCACCGGGGGCGACGGCAGGAUGAAGGCCAGGCUGAAGGUCUUGCCGGACGCGCCGAGAGGAGGUGCAUGGCCGCCGUCAGCUCGUACCGUGAGGCGUCCACUUAAGUGUGGUAACGAGCGAGACCCGCGCCCCCAGUUGCCAGUCCCUCCCGCUCGGGAGGGAGGCACUCUGGGGGGACUGCCGGCGAUAAGCCGGAGGAAGGGGCGGGCGACGGUAGGUCAGUAUGCCCCGAAACCCCCGGGCUACACGCGCGCUACAAUGGGCGGGACAAUGGGACCCGACCCCGAAAGGGGAAGGGAAUCCCCUAAACCCGCCCUCAGUUCGGAUCGCGGGCUGCAACUCGCCCGCGUGAAGCUGGAAUCCCUAGUACCCGCGCGUCAUCAUCGCGCGGCGAAUACGUCCCUGCUCCUUGCACACACCGCCCGUCACUCCACCCGAGCGGGGCCCAGGUGAGGCCCGAUCUCCUUCGGGAGGUCGGGUCGAGCCUGGGCUCCGUGAGGGGGGAGAAGUCGUAACAAGGUAGCCGUAGGGGAACCUACGGCUCGAUCACCUCCU